GCAUCCAUGGCUGAACGGUGAAAGCGCCCAACUCAUAAUUGGAGAGUUAGCGGGUUCGACUCCUGCUGGAUGCA
rfam:Klebsormidium nitens chloroplast DNA, contig: KFL_3730.